rnacentral:sRNA from 1 species
GAUGCCAGGGUCAAAAGGUCAUGAUUUUCAUGCUUGCAUGAAAAAAAAUGACUUUUUCACCCGCUAAACAUGAGAAAGUAGCCAUUUUUCGAAGAUAAAUGAGCGGAUUGCAAAUGUUUUGUCGAUUUUGAGAGUUCGAAGUAUGGAAAAAUCG